rnacentral:rRNA from 1 species
AGCCUGAACGCUGGCGGCGUGGUUAAGACAUGCAAGUCGUACGGAUGCAGCAAUGCAUCAGUGGCGAACGGGUGAGUAAUGAAUCGCUAACGUGCCCCGGACUCUGGGAUAGCUGACCGAAAGGGCAGGUAAUACCAGAUGACAUAACUUUGUCGCAUGACAAAGUUCUCAAAGGUCCGCCGGUCUGGGAGCUGGCGAUUUCGUAUCAGCUAGUUGGUAAGGUAACGGCUUACCAAGGCGACGACGCGUAGCCGGACUGAGAGGUUGGCCGGCCACAUUGGGACUGAGACACUGCCCAGACUCCUACGGGGGGCUGCAGUAACGAAUCUUCCGCAAUGCACGAAAGUGUGACGGAGCGACGCCGCGUGUGGGACGAAGCCCUUCGGGGUGUAAACCACUGUCAGGGGAAAGAAGUUCUGAUCUACCCCAGAGGAAGAGGCGGCUAACUCUGCGCCAGCAGCCGCGGUAA